rnacentral:misc_RNA from 1 species
GAUGAAGAACGUAGCGAAAUGCGAUAAGUAGUGUGAAUUGCAGAAUUCAGUGAAUCAUCGAAUCUUUGAACGCACAUUGCGCCCCUUGGUAUUCCAUGGGGCAUGCCUGUUCGAGCGUCAUUUGUACCUUCAAGCUUUGCUUGGUGUUGGGUGUUUGUCUCGCCUCUGCGUGUAGACUCGCCUUAAAACAAUUGGCAGCCGGCGUAUUGAUUUCGGAGCGCAGUACAUCUCGCGCUUUGCACUCAUAACGACGACGUCCAAAAGUACAUUUUUACACUCUUGACCUCGUAUCAGGUAGGGAUACCCGCUGAACUUAAGCAUAUCAAUAAGCGGAGGA